AAGGAAUAUUGGACAAUGGCCGCAAGGCUGAUCCAGCCAUGCCGCGUGCAGGAUGACGGUGCUCUGCAUUGUAAACUGCUUUUGUUCGGGAAUAAACCCUUUCACGUGUGAGAGGUUGAAUGUACCGAAAGAAUAAGGGACGGCUAACUUCGUGCCAGCAGCCGCGGUAAUACGAAGGUCCCAAGCGUUAUCCGGAUUUAUUGGGUUUAAAGGGUGCGUAGGCGGGCUAUUAAGUCAGUGGUGAAAGCUCUCAGCUUAACUGGGAAACUGCCAUUGAUACUGAUAGUCUUGAGUAUGAUUGAAGUGGGCGGAAUGUGUCAUGUAGCGGUGAAAUGCUUAGAUAUGACACAGAACACCGAUUGCGAAGGCAGCUCACUAAGCCAUAACUGACGCUGAUGCACGAAAGCGUGGGGAGCAAAC
rnacentral:rRNA from 1 species